CGGCCCCUCGAGUGGUGGGGAUGAUUAUUUGGCCUAAAGCGUCCGUAGCCGGCCGGGUAAGUCUCCCGUUAAAUCCAGCGUCUCAAGCGUUGGACUGCGGGAGAUACUGCCUGGCUAGAGAGUGGGAGAGGUCAGCGGUAUUCUGGGGGUAGGGGCGAAAUCCUUUGAUCCCCGGAGGACCACCAGUGGCGAAGGCUGCUGACUAGAACACGUCUGACGGUCAGGGACGAAAGCUGGGGUAGCGAACCGGAUUAGAUACCCGAGUAGUCC
rnacentral:rRNA from 1 species